rnacentral:tRNA from 1 species
GGGGAUGUAGCUCAGUGGUAGAGUGCUUGCUUAUCAUGUGUGGGGCUCUGAGUUCAAAUCCCAGCACCACAA